UUUUGCUGGAGAUCCCUGCUUACUUGAGGCCUUCUGAAGGAGUGAAUUCUUGAUCGCUCUCAAAGGGCCUGGAUACCACAAAGGUCCUGAUUGCCCCAGCUCCAACAGGAGCUGCCCUAAAUGUCCACUGGAGGACCUAUGCCAAAACCAGACACGUUUAGAAGGGGAUUACUGCCUAUAUUGCAGUGUCUGGGGUCCUUGGGGGUGCUCGGUGGGAUUUGUUGCGGUGCUUUGCAGCUGCCCUGCUUGGAUGAGGAGAGAUUUCUGCCUCUGUCCCCGUGUCUGCCCAUCAUGGAGGAGGUCCUGCCCUUUCCCAGCCCCGAUGCGAAGCUGCCUGAGCUCGUGCUGCCCUGAGAAUUCGUGCCUUUGCAUAUUUCAUUAAGGCUACUGGUGUCAUGAAAGUAAAAUGCAGCAAAAGGAGAAAGCUGAGUGGAGGGGGCAGAUGUGUAACAAGGCAAAAGGAGAAGCAAAAAGGAGAAAUCAUGUUAUUUUUGGAGUCACUUGUUAUUACAGAUUCCAUCCCAUGAUCAACAGAACCACAAAGGUUGGAAAAAACUAUUAAGAUCCCCAGCUCACCCCACACCAUACCUGCUACCCACAUCCAUCAAUGCCACAUCCCCAUGGCUCUGGAACACCUUCAGGGAUGGUGAUCACUCUCUGGGCAGCUGUGCCACUGCAUUCCUCUCUUUUGGAGAGAAAUGGUUCCUAAUAUCUGACCUGAACCUCCAAUGGUGCAACUUGAUGCCAUCACCUCUCAUUCUAUCACUGUUAUCUGCGAGCAGAGGCUGACCCCCACCUCGCUACACCCUCCUUUCAGAUACCUGAGCCCAGCAGAGCACUUUGCUGUCUGAAGCCUCUCCUUGCCACCCAUCAGGACCAGCACACCUGCUUGCUCAUGGCACAGCUGCCAGUGCAGGACCAGGGACAUUCACCCCAGCACACAUCACUGGAGUUUCCAAAUCCUGGGUCCUUUAGGGGCUGAAGUACAGGAUGAGUCUGCUUGGCUGCAUCUGGAGAAGGAAAGUUAUGAUGAACAAGCUAAGUGAUGAACUCCUUUUGUGGCAAAUAACACGAGGAUAGGGAGAGGUUUAUGCAGCAUAGAAGGGGUAAAAAGUCAUUUUCAAUCAGUGGCAGAAGAGUCCUUUCCCAUCUUGUGUUUUUCCAAUAACUAUGUGCAAUUUCUUAGAUGUCAGCCAAGGGAAAGUGGCAGCAUCAGCUCCUCAAAUAAAUACCCUCACCUUGCCCACUGUUAAAACUCAGACGAAUACGUGGAGCUGAACUAAAUGCAUGUGCUGAAUUAGCUUGACAUUAUUUUCACCUCCAGUUCCUGGGCAAGGUGCAGUUUUAUCUCGUUUUUGUUGCUGCAGUUUAGUCAGAAUUCUGGUUUUGAUGAGGAAGGGAAGAAAAAUGAUGUUUAUAGUUUGUUUUAUACAGAGCGGGUCC
ensembl:lncRNA